rnacentral:rRNA from 1 species
GACGAACGCUGGCGGCGUGCUUAACACAUGCAAGUCGAACGGAAAGGCCCUGCUUUUGUGGGGUGCUCGAGUGGCGAACGGGUGAGUAACACGUGAGUAACCUGCCCUUGACUUUGGGAUAACUUCAGGAAACUGGGGCUAAUACCGGAUAGGAGCUCCUGCUGCAUGGUGGGGGUUGGAAAGUUUCGGCGGUUGGGGAUGGACUCGCGGCUUAUCAGCUUGUUGGUGGGGUAGUGGCUUACCAAGGCUUUGACGGGUAGCCGGCCUGAGAGGGUGACCGGCCACAUUGGGACUGAGAUACGGCCCAGACUCCUACGGGAGGCAGCAGUGGGGAAUAUUGCACAACGGGCGGAAGCCUGAUGCAGCAACGCCGCGUGCGGGAUGACAGCCUUCGGGUUGUAAACCGCUUUCGCCUGUGACGAAGCGUGAGUGACGGUAAUGGGUAAAGAAGCACCGGCUAACUACGUG